CUGGUAUUUAGUACAGAGGCUGGACUGGGGUUUAGUAGAGGGGGAUGCUGUUUUUUUUUUAUACUGUACUUUUUUAAACAAACCCAUGUUUCUAUGAAAAUUUAAGGUUUGUUUGUUUUUUGCGGGCCCACGUAACCUUAAACCUUGUUUAUGUGGCCCAUGCUAGCUUUUGAGUUUGACAUGCUUGAUUACACACAAUGAACACCUUUAAUUUUAAGUUCUCCAAAUAUGCGUGAUUAACUUAUUAAACCAUAGAUAGUUCACCUUGCAAUAAUUAUUGCAUUAUUAUGUAUCUCUAUUUCUCAUAGUAUGCUCGUUAUCUCAGCCAAGUUUGUUUCUUAAGCAACAGAAUUAUUACCUGAACUCCAAAUUAUAGCAAAUUAAAAUCCAAAUUUAAAUAUUCUGACUAAGGUAGCCAUUGUGUGCCAAAACCGGUGUUACAUAAUUUUUCCCUCAUUAACUAUUGUUGCCUCAGUUUUGACAUUUUUAUAUUUAACUUGCAAUAGUUUGGAAUUUAGUGAACAUUAAAGUUACCAAAUAGGGGGCACCAUUUACUAAAUAAUUAAGAUGUCUAAGCAAAAGCUAAUAGUAUUUUGGAAAAAUCAAUGAUCCUGACCCAGGACCAUCAGUAUACAAUGAAUAGGUUUUACAUAAGUUAUAACUUAAUAUAAAAUUUAAAGAUUACAUUAAUUAUUUGCAGUGUCUCUGUCAAAACUUAAGAUCAUGUCCUUUAGAUAAAAUUCAGGUUGUGAAAUAUAAUUAAAUUCUAUACCCAAAAAUAAUGGUAUAGAUUAUUUCAUUUUUAGAGAGUAUUUUUUGAGUAGCUUUGAGUAACUCUAGAAUUGACUGGAGUUUCCUGAAUCGCUAUUGCCUUAAACUGUAAUAAGUGUUCUGUAGUCUUCUUUAAUCCCCUUUUUUAAAUCCUGUAUAAAGUUGUAUUUUUAUUACUGAAAACCUUUUUUGCAAUAAAUGUGAAUAACUUACACUUUUGUUUUUUUGAGCAUGUGCAAGCUUCUCUUCAGUAGAUUGUAUUGGAAAAAUGCAACUAUACAUUACUUGGUAGGUGUCUCAACACUUUGUGUCCUGAAUGGGAAAAAUACUGUUGUUCACGUUAGGGAGAAUUUGAAUUUUUAAGUGAAUUCCAAAUUUAAAGUCAAAGUAGCCAAACUAAAAUCAUAAUAGACUUGGAUAAUUGUUGGCCUUAAAGCAAUGUGUGUGAUUCUGUAUUUGUGUGUGUCUGUGAGUGCUUGUCUCUGUUUUUUGUAAAUGCUCUGGGUGUGCAUGCCAGGUGGGCCGCCGUAAAGCAAGUUUUGUAAAGGGCAUAGCAAUUUCUUAAAACAGUCCUUUAGUAUAUACACACAUAAAUAAAGUAUGGUACACUCAACCUCUACUCAGCUUUGAAGUUCAUUGAAUUUUUAUAAACACUUGACUUUUGUAAACAUAUAUAAAUAUAUAUCUCAAUAUGUGUGUGUUCCAAAAUAUGAAAAGAUGAAAAUACAAAGGAAUGAAAAUAAAAAUUUUGCAAGAAGCUUACUCACUGACUUUAC